AAGAAUUAUUAAAGUUGUGAGAACAUAAAAAUAAAAACAAAAUAAAAAAAAAGUAGAGAAUUACUAUACAGCUUUAUUUAUUAAUGAAAACAAUUCGAUGAAGCACUGCUACUUCCACUCCAAAACCUUGGUCUUGAACAAAAUUGUAACCUCAAUAUAGAUUCGACUACGAUCGUGACCAUAAUUUGGCAGGAGAAUCAAAUCGAGAUCUUGAUACUUAUUUUGAUUUUGAUCGAGAUUUUGACUUAGAAGAAUUUCUCGAUUGAGGUGAUUCAGAUCUUGAUUUCGAUUUAUUGUGUGAUUUAGAUAGAUAAUUUGAAUUUGAUUACGAGCGAAGAGAAUGAAACGAAUUUAUAUAUCGAACGAGAAUGUGACGUGGAUUUCAAACUAGAUUUAGAAGAUACCGUUAAAUGAAGACGAAAUUAUGCUGAAAGCACGAGAGAUGAUUUAAAUGAUGCAUGCGGACUACUUUCAUUUUCAGAACCAGCUAAACUAGUAUAAUUAUAAUUAUCAGAUAAAAAUUGUAAAGUUAAAAAUAUAUAUAACCUUUUUCUUUUGCUUUUUCAA